UCAACAAGCUCGAAUAGCAACUUCUAAAGAUGAAACAUCCCAGGCUUUUUUAAACCUGGGUAGCGGUUUUCUGACCUUGAAUCAGUAUGAAUAUGCUAAAGAAUGUGGAAGGAAAUCAUUACAUGCUGCUCGAUGUACAGACAACCGACAACGAGAGAUAGAAUCCACCAUACUUGUGGCAGUUUCUAUGGCUCAUCUCCAUAAACACAAAGAGGCCAAUAGAAAAAUCUCCCAAGCACAACACUUGUCAAAUAGACUGGGGAAUAGAGGAUUGACUAAAAUGGUAGAAGCAGCAGAAACGGAAGUCCAGUAUGUAAUUAAACGUAAUCGUGGUUCGGCUGGAAGAACGAGAGAAAGACGAAACACGCACAGAUCCUUUCUACCGCCAAUAUCUCUCCAGGCUCGCUCCACAUUAAUCAGUACCCCAGCAUAGGAAACAGAUAUGGUCAGGCGCGUGUCCAGUGUGUGUGUGUGUGUGUGUGUGUGUGUGUGCAAGUGCGGAACAGAAAUAUUGUCUCAAAGCUUCUGAUUUGAUUAAUUUCGCGGGUAGUUCCUCCCGACCUAACGCUAAACUUGGCGUUGCAUGCCUCUUACAUAAUGCAUCUUUGAAGUGUUGAUUAAGUGCUAUGUAAUUAUAAAUGACGUCAGACUGACGUGAGUAUCCUUGUGACACACAAUGAAAGUGUUAAUGAAACUGGGAGAACCGCUAAUAGUAGGCUACAAAUUAGACGGCAGUUUUCAUUACUAAUUUGAACAGAAUGUAAUGAUUUGUGUUAAUAUUAAAUAACAGAAAUAUAUCCCACUAUGGCAGUGUUGCCAUCGAGAGAUAACAUUUGAGUGUCCAGUAAGAACGAAGUGCCAGUUCCACACGGACGACUUGGACAUCUGCAUUACGCGAUAAAUUGGUUUGCAAAAGAACCUGCAAAUAAUUGGGAAAUGACCGAAGAGUUUAUUGGGUUUGUCUUGGAGAAUUUCGUUAUUUUUCAUCUUCAUUAAACACGAUAAUUAUCUUUUAUUUGUAUCUGAAUUUAUCCGUCCAAUUUGGUUGAUGUGAUGUGUUAGUUUGAUUGGGGACGAUUAAAUUUCCGUCUGGAAAAACAAAGCGGAAGUCGGUGUGUAUACUGAUUUUAGUUUCGUUUUUGGGUUAAACUGUCAGCAGUUGAACACAAAAUCAGUAAUAUAGCCCUACCAACACCAGCUUUAUCCGAGGACUAGAACUUCAAAAUAAAAAUAGAUAUCCAAUCAAACGCAAA